AUUGAACGCUGGCGGCAUGCCUUACACAUGCAAGUCGAACGGUAACAGGUCUUCGGAUGCUGACGAGUGGCGAACGGGUGAGUAAUACAUCGGAACGUGCCCAGACGUGGGGGAUAACGAGGCGAAAGCUUUGCUAAUACCGCAUACGAUCUAAGGAUGAAAGCAGGGGACCGCAAGGCCUUGCGCGUUUGGAGCGGCCGAUGGCAGAUUAGGUAGUUGGUGGGAUAAAAGCUUACCAAGCCGACGAUCUGUAGCUGGUCUGAGAGGACGACCAGCCACACUGGGACUGAGACACGGCCCAGACUCCUACGGGAGGCAGCAGUGGGGAAUUUUGGACAAUGGGCGAAGGCCUGAUCCAGCAAUGCCGCGUGCAGGAUGAAGGCCUUCGGGUUGUAAACUGCUUUUGUACGGAACGAAAAGGCUCUGGCUAAUACCUGGGGCACAUGACGGUACCGUAAGAAUAAGCACCGGCUAACUACGUG
rnacentral:rRNA from 1 species